CUUUAUGAUUGAGCCUGGGAUUUAAAAUUUUCAUUGAUCUUUCUUAGAAAGUGGAACUUGUUAGUUUAUUGCUGUUGUUAUCUUCAGAAUUUGAAUGUGUGUUGUUAGCUUGUUUAAAUUUAUUUAUUUAUUUUUUUUCGUAGAUUUUUAGGGUAUGCUCCAGUUUAUACCCAGAUUAACACAUUUUAUUAGUUUUCUUGUAUUCUAGGCACUAGCAUUUUUUUUUUAAAAAUUUCUGGCUAUGUUGUAUCAAAGUCAGUGCAUUUACAUUUUAUAGUCAUCUAAUUCGAACAACUAGUAUGCAUUCAUUUGCUCUUUUUACAUUUUAGAAAUGCAGGUGUCUCUAUUGCUACUUUCCAUUUUUAUCCUUUCUAACGCGGCUGCUUUUUCCUCUUCUACAGUAAGCUUCAGAGUGAUGCCUUGAGGGAAGCCAUUACCAAAGUCCUCCUCCGCUACUCAUCAGCUCUUGUUCAAGGUGCUGCAAAUGUCUUCUGGAUUGACAUCCAAACAAACACAAGGCGUUUCCAAUCUCUCUUCCGGUAUCUUCUGGAGGAAGUUGCUUUGGUGCCUGAGCAAUUAAAGAAAAUUCCCCUGCAGUUAAAUUGGCUCAAUGUUCAAUUUGAAAAAUGUCUCUUGUUUCAAGCAUUUGACCUCUGCGAGAAGUUGGUGCUACAUUCUAACAUUCUCUUCUUCUGUGUUUCUCAUGGCAUAUCUGCCUAGCCUUGCUCUUUCCCCUGGCAUCAACCACAGCCACAUCCCCCUCCGGCACCAUCUCCUUCUCUGCCUACCCCAACCCUCACCACCAAACACUAUCACCUCUUUCCACUUCAUUGUCUAUUCCCAACAGCCGAACACCACCACCAACCACUGUUCCAACGCUACCACCACAAAAACAACCCACCACCAAACCCUCUAUCAACACCACCACAAUCUAAUCACCACCAACAUUAAACUCAGUAGCUAGUAUUACGGAUGAAUUAACCAAAAUUCUUCUAGUGAUGAUUAGAGUCGAUUACUUGAUAUUUUAAUAACUCGGUACUUUUCAUUUUUUACACUACUCUUUAGUUCUUCUCAAUCAAACUCGAAGAACAACUGACAACCAAGUAUUAAAGCAACUCAGACCUUUGAUUGUUAAUAGAGAGGUCAUAAUAAUGUUGUCUGAAUGGAAGAGAGAGGGAAGAUGCAUAGGGCAGUACUGUGGG